rnacentral:SRP_RNA from 1 species
GCCGGGCGCUGUGGCUUGUGCCUGUGAUCCCAGCUGCUGGAGAGGCUAAGGCUGGCGGAUUGCUUGAGCUCAGGAGUUCUGGGCUACAGUGAGCUAUGCUGAUUGGGUGUCUGCACUAAGUUUGGCAUCAGUAUGGUGAUCCUGGGGAAGCUUGGGGUCACCAGGUUGCCUGAGGAGGGGUGAACCGGCCCAGGUCAGAAAUGGAUCAAGUCAAAACUCCCGUGCUGAUCAGUAGCGGGAUCAUGCCUGUAAAUAGCCCCUGCAGCGUAGCCUGGGCAAGACAGUGAGACACGGUCUCUU